GUGGGUUACACCAGAAGUAGGUAGUCUAACCGCAAGGAGGCAGCCAACCACGGUAGGGUCAGCGACUGGGGUGAAGUCGUAACAAGGUAGCCGUAGGUGAACCUGCAGAAGGAUCA
rnacentral:rRNA from 1 species